rnacentral:sRNA from 1 species
UUGAAAAUAGCAGAGACUGAAGUCUGGUAUUUAUCCACAAACCAAGGAGCUGGCAAAAGUGAAAUGUUGGCUUCACUGUCCUGUUCCACCUGUUUACCUCAACCCUGACUUGGAAACUGAACCUUCUGAUGGUGUCAGAGUUUAUUUCAGUAAAUCAGCUCAUACAGUCCCCACA